UACGGAGGGUGCGAGCGUUGUCCGGAUUUAUUGGGUUUAAAGGGUGCGUAGGUGGUUUUUUAAGUCUGGUUUGAAAGUAGGUCGCUUAACGAUCUAACGUGGCUGGAAACUGGGGAACUUGAAUGGGUUGGCGGUAGCCGGAACGGGUCAUGUAGCGGUGAAAUGCAUAGAUAUGACCCAGAACACCGAUUGCGAAGGCAGGCUACUACGACCCUAUUGACACUGAGGCACGAGAGCAUGGGGAGCCAACAGG
rnacentral:rRNA from 1 species